rnacentral:tRNA from 1 species
UCCUUGAUAGUCUAGUGGUUAUGGUAAGACAAUAAUACUUGAAACGUAAAAAAAUCAUCACUAAAAAUAUCCAGAUAUCCGCUUGUCACGCGGAUGGCCGGGGUUCGAUUCCCCGUCGGGGAG